rnacentral:rRNA from 1 species
UUCCUCAAAUCAAGUAGGACUACCCGCUGAACUUAAGCAUAUCAAUAAGCGGAGGAAAAGAAACCAACAGGGAUUGCCUCAGUAACGGCGAGUGAAGCGGCAAAAGCUCAAAUUUGAAAUCCCCCCGGGGAGUUGUAAUUUGAAGAUUGCGUCUUGGAGGCGACCGUGUCUAUGUUCCUUGGAACAGGACGUCACAGAGGGUGAGAAUCCCGUGCGGCACGGCCCCCGGCUCCUUAUAAGGCGCUCUC